rnacentral:rRNA from 1 species
GUGUAGAUAUCGGGAAGAACACCAAUGGCGAAGGCAGGUCUCUGGGCCGUUACUGACGCUGAGGAGCGAAAGCGUGGGGAGCGAACAGGAUUAGAUACCCUGGUAGUCCACGCCGUAAACGGUGGAUGCUGGAUGUGGGGCCCGUUCCACGGGUUCCGUGUCGGAGCUAACGCGUUAAGCAUCCCGCCUGGGGAGUACGGCCGCAAGGCUAAAACUCAAAGAAAUUGACGGGGGCCCGCACAAGCGGCGGAGCAUGCGGAUUAAUUCGAUGCAACGCGAAGAACCUUACCUGGGCUUGACAUGUUCCCGACGGUCGUAGAGAUACGGCUUCCCUUCGGGGCGGGUUCACAGGUGGUGCAUGGUCGUCGUCAGCUCGUGUCGUGAGAUGUUGGGUUAAGUCCCGCAACGAGCGCAACCCUCGCCCCGUGUUGCCAGCGGAUUAUGCCGGGAACUCACGGGGGACCGCCGGGGUUAACUCGGAGGAAGGUGGGGAUGACGUCAGAUCAUCAUGCCCCUUACGUCCAGGGCUUCACGCAUGCUACAAUGGCCGGUACAACGGGAUGCGACGCGGCGACGCGGAGCGGAUCCCUGAAAACCGGUCUCAGUUCGGAUCGCAGUCUGCAACUCGACUGCGUGAAGGCGGAGUCGCUAGUAAUCGCGAAUCAGCAACGUCGCGGUGAAUGCGUUCCCGGGCCUUGUACACACCGCCCGUCAAGUCAUGAAAGUGGGCAGCACCCGAAGCCGGUGGCCUAACCCCUUGUGGGAUGGAGCCGUCUAAGGUGAGGCUCGUGAUUGGGACUAAGUCGUAACAAGGUAGCCGUACCGGAAGGUGCGGCUGGAUCACCUCCUUUCUACGGAG